AGAGGUAUGGGCAUGGGUGUGGCUGAAGGACUCCCAGUGCAGCAGCAUAGACAGAGCCACCCAACUCAGCACAGGUGCGCUCAUUUCAAUGCCAUGGACAGCGGCACUCAGUUCAGUAUUGUGGAAGGCGGCACUACCUUCAGCACCAGGCCAACCGAAGACAGCGCAACAGCUUUGCUCACCCAACACACCUGUGCAGGAUUACUAAUCAGCACACCUUCAAGGAAUUCCCUAAUCAACUGACUGGCACAAUAGUGCAGGCUGGACCUCACUCAAGUGGAACAGUGACAAAGACACAGUGUGCCUACCAUCCCACUUCAACUGUUUCUCUCUACUUCCACAGACUCCUCAGAAGGAGCGUUACGGACUCUGCCAGUGAGACCAUGCAAGACAUUGCAGGUGGCCACCAUCUUUAACCACUCUCUUGCCUGACCAGCUUGUGGACUAGAGAGCCAGAGACACUAAAAUCAUCUGAAACUCUUUUGUUGUGUGUUUACUCAUUACCGCUUGUGUAGUCGGGCACACCACACUCUUCCCAACAGUAAGUAUAAAAGCAGUUACCUUGCUGCUAUAGAGGCUAUUGCACUUACUGUAAGUGAACGUCUGAAGCAUGGUGUAGAUCCAGCAUCCCCCAUACAUUCAGAGGCCAGGCCUAGGCUAUAGCUUAUUUAAAUUGAGUGCUGAGGUGCAGGGAGAUCAUGCACAAGUAUGAUAAGAGUCCUUAUGUGUACAUGAAGUCUCUACAGCUGCAUCCAAUUAGUCAGAGAAGCAUUUGAGUGGACUCUCUUGCACUCUAAAAAUUAAGGGUUCAACAAGGGUUCUUCUAAGAGCUUUGAAGUUCUUCAGAGAACCUUGGGGUUCUUGGCACUGAAAAUAACCCCAAAGGGUUCUUCCAAGAACCCCAUAGGAGGUGGGGGUUCAUCGAGGAACCUCCUUAGUUGGUGGGGGUUCUUGCAGGAACCUAACUGCCCAACGUUUGGAUUUGAAUUUGAAAGAACAGCAGGUGCAGGCACUUAACUGGAAAAUGUAAAGAUCUCCUCAAUUUAAGGUAUACAGACGAGGAGGCAUGCAAAGUUAUGUCUUGGUGUGUUACCAUCCUCCUCCCUUACCUCUUCAAUGAAUAUACCAUAGGCCUCUACAUUAUGGACAAGACGUCACCCUCCCAACAACUCUGCAUUUAACAGAAAACCUGUUCAAUCACAACGCACUGCAAAAUCAUUCUGGCUAUGUACACGGAGAACAUCAACACACCCAUUAUACUUGGGGCUCUGCUGGGAGUUUACCUCAUAUUUAGAUUUUUUCAUUCUGCUGUGCCACUAAAAUCCAAAUAAACACUGACA